rnacentral:rRNA from 1 species
GACGAACGCUGGCGGCGUGCUUAAUACAUGCAAGUCAACUUGACUUUAGAUAGCAAUAUCGAAAAGUAGGGUGGCGCACGGGUGCGUAACGCGUAGGUAAUCUGCCUGAGGUCUGACAUAACCCGUCGAAAGGCGGGCUAAACAUCAGAUGAUAUAUAAUCACGACAUCGUGGAAAUAUCAAAUCUUCGGAGCCUUGGGAUGAGCCUGCGUCUGAUUAGGUAGUUGGCGGAGUAAUAGCCCACAAGCCUACGAUCAGUAGCUGGUCUGAGAGGAUGAUCAGCCA